rnacentral:lncRNA from 1 species
CACCGUGGUUUGAUGGCCAUGCCAUUUGAAAUAUAUGUUUAUUGCUUUUUAUUUUUGUUUUGCCUGUUUUGUUUAUUUGUUGAUUGUGGAGUUGCUAUGGUGGCCUUUUGACUUUGAUUUUGGAUUUGUACCGAUGGUGUUCUAUGUUUGUUUAUGUAUUCUUUUGUUUGUGUGUGAGCCUGAUGAUGGCAACAAAGAAUUGCUGAAAACAUUUGUUUUUUGUUUAAUAAAUUGUGGACAUUCUUACUGCUAGAGGUGCUUGUGUGUUAUUAUAUGACCUAAUGCACAUCUUAUUAGCAAUAUGUGAUCAGUACUGGAAUUCAGAGAGAAGUUUAAAUUUGCAUAAAAUCUUCUGAUAAUGCGUAUCUUGUAUAACACGAUUUUCUAUAAUGCAGAGCAUAUCCCCAUGUUGAACAAGAGUCCACU